UACACAAUGAAUAUCUAAGAUUAAUAACGAUAGAAUUACAAGCCGUUAUUAAUUUAAGUUCUAUUGGACUUUUUUGAGGAUAAGCUCGAAAAUUGUUGUUGAGGGUUGUAUAAUUUAAAAUUAUUGUGUGGGCCUAAAAUUAGCCACCACGAGAGUUUGUUAUAAAACAAUAAGAAUAUACAAGAAUAUUAUUAUACACAAUACCACGUAAAACCAUAAGAAUAGCAAUCUAAACCUAAAGAUUUGUAUGCCUAUGCUAGGAUGAGUAUUAAAACCACUUGAAUCGAAAGAUAAAAUAUUUCCUCAAAGCAAUAUUUUUUAUAUAAAUUAAGGAGAAGGAAUUCGGCAAAUGUUGUUUCGCCUGUUUAUCAAAAACAUGGCUCUUUGGAAAAGAUAUAUAAAGAGUCGAACCUGCCCAGUGAAUAAUUUUAACGGCCGCGGUACCCUGACCGUGCAAAGGUAGCAUAAUCAUUUGCCUUAUAAUUGAAGGCUGGCAUGAAUGGUCUGACGAGAGCAACACUGUCUCCUCUUUAUUAUCUAAAAAUUAACCUAUGGGUGAAGAGGCCUAUAUUGAAUUGAAGGACAAGAAGACCCUGUCGAGCUUAAAAGAAAAAGUAGGAGUUAGCUAUUAAAUAAAAAUCAAUAAACUAUAAAGCUUUUUAGUUGGGGCGACUAAGGAACAAGCAAAGCUUCUUUUAUUUUUAUAAAUUUAUAGAUUUAGAUCCAGCAAAGCUGAUCAAAGGAAUUAGUUACCGCAGGGAUAACAGCAUAAUCUCCCUUGAGAGACCUAAUCGAAAGGGGGGGUUGUGACCUCGAUGUUGGACUAGAAUAUCCUGAAGAUGCAGACGUCU
rnacentral:rRNA from 1 species